rnacentral:rRNA from 1 species
UGCCUCACGAAAACAAAAAUGAGAGGUCCAUCCUGCCCAGUGACCUACGGGUUAAACGGCCGCGGUACCCUGACCGUGCUAAGGUAGCGUGAUAAUUCGCCCUUUAAUUGUGGGCUCGUAUGAAAGGACAAACGAGAGCUCAGCUGUCUCCCAAGUAGAACAGGACAUUGUUAUUCAGGUGAAGAAACCUGAAUUCAAAUAAAGGACAAAAAGACCCCAUAGAGCUUUGUUGAACUCCUCACUAACUAAAAAGUAUUCUUACAUUCUUAGUUAGCAAGGUAACAACUUAACUGGGGCGGUUAAGGAAAAUCUUAAACUUCCAUCUUUAGCUCUCUAUGCAAACCAAGGCAAAUACAAGCCAAUACUAAUCUGACCCUUACUUAAAAGAUCAAAGGAUUAGCUACCUUGGGGAUAAUUGAUUCAUCCCCCUUAAGAGUCCGCAUUGACAGGGGGGCUUGACGCCUCGAUGUUGGCUUAGGGUAUCCAGAAGGUCAGCAGCAGC